AACCCGAAAGAUCGAAARGGCUGAUUCAUCGCGAGCGACGUCGGCUUUUCGGUGGUUCCCGGUGCGCUGCGCCCAUCCUGGUCGUUUGCCGCACGGGUCCUCCGUGCAACCUCAUGUCCGGCGACGUCGGCGUGCAAUUCUCCCCUAGUAGGAUGUCGCGACCCGUUGGGUGUCGGUCUACGGCUCGAGUCGUCGCCUGUUCCGUCGCUUCGGCGUAUAGGGACAAACGCUUUGUCGCCCGGCCGGCUGCCCGGUGGUACGCGCACGGUAUCUGGUCGCAAUUUCUUSUCGAACGCACUGUGUCUCAGGCCCGCCGCAAGCGCGGUCAAUGUAAACCCAGAGGCACGGUCCGGUGCCACUCCGGGCUGGACCCGCAGUUCGUCG
rnacentral:rRNA from 1 species